AACGCUAGCUACAGGCUUAACACAUGCAAGUCGAGGGGCAGCACAGAGAUAGCUUGCUAUCUUGGGUGGCGACCGGCGCACGGGUGAGUAACGCGUAUCCAACCUGCCCAUUACUCAGGGAUAGCCUUGCGAAAGUAAGAUUAAUACCUGAUGUUGUUAAAAACCCGCAUGAGUUUUUAACCAAAGAUUUAUUGGUAAUGGAUGGGGAUGCGUGACAUUAGGUAGUUGGUGAGGUAACGGCUCACCAAGCCCACGAUGUCUAGGGGUUCAGAGAGGAAGGUCCCCCACACUGGAACUGAGACACGGUCCAGACUCCUACGGGAGGCAGCAGUGAGGAAUAUUGGUCAAUGGACGAGAGUCUGAACCAGCCAAGUAGCGUGCAGGACGACGGCCCUCUGGGUUGUAAACUGCUUUUAGUUGGGAAUAAAAAGAGGGACGUGUCCCUAAUUGUAUGUACCAUCAGAAAAAGGACCGGCUAAUUCCGUGCCAGCAGCCGCGGUAAUACGGAAGGUCCAGGCGUUAUCCGGAUUUAUUGGGUUUAAAGGGAGCGUAGACGGGGAAUUAAGUCAGUUGUGAAAGGCUGCGGCUCAACCGCAGCACUGCAGUUGAUACUGGUUUCCUUGAGUGCGGUUGAGGUAUGUGGAAUUCGUGGUGUAGCGGUGAAAUGCUUAGAUAUCACGAAGAACUCCGAUUG
rnacentral:rRNA from 1 species